AAUAUAAAAUAUUAAAGCUUCUAACUUUAAUUUAAUAAUUUAUUUUAUUGUAUUUCU
rnacentral:tRNA from 1 species